rnacentral:rRNA from 1 species
CAAUAGCGUAUAUUAAAGUUGUUGCAGUUAAAAAGCUCGUAGUUGGAUUUCUGGUAGGAGCGACCGUGCCGAACUUGAUUGUUCGCGUAUUGUGUUGUCUUCAGCCAUCCUCGUGGAGAACUUUUCUAACAUUAACUUGUUGGGAUUGGGACCCGCGUCGUUUACUGUGAAAAAAUUAGAGUGUUUAAAGCAGGCAUUAGCUUGAAUACAUUAGCAUGGAAUAAUAAGAUAGGACUUUGGUACUAUUUUGUUGGUUUGCAUACCAAAUUAAUGAUCAACAGGAACAGUUUGAGGAUAUUCGUAUGAACAUGUCAGAGGUGAAAUUCUUGGAUUUUGAUCAGACGAACUACUGCGAAAGCAUUUAUCAAGGAUGUUUUCAUUAA